UUUUUUGAAAGGGUGCUUUUAUGAGAUAGAGAUUUUUUAGAUAAUGCUUUUUUAGAUAAUGCUGGGGAAGGUUUUCCGGUUUAUCUCGGAGGGCUUGUAGCUCAGUUGGUUAGAGCGCGCGCUUGAUAAGCGUGAGGUCGGAGGUUCAAGUCCUCCCAGGCCCACCAAUUUACCUAUCCAUUUGCCUUUAUCUGUUUAUUUGCCGAUUUAUCGGUCCAUUGAAUUUAAGUGUUGGUAGCAGUUUUAUAAUGAUGAGAAAUCAUGCUUAUAAAAGAACUCCUUAUAAAAGGCUUGUUUUUAAAAUGUGACGCUUAUCCAUUUCGCUUAGGCAAGAGAAACUUCAAGCGGUUCAAAUACAAAAGGCUUUAAGUUUUGCAAAACACUUUGAAUUUUGCAAAACACUUUGAAUUUUAAAG
rnacentral:misc_RNA from 1 species